UUUUGACAGAACGUCACAGAUGUUUUGCAAGGAGGAAGGAUAUUUGGUCUUCGUCAAUCAAGCUUACUAUUGCAGACGACUUGGAGGAGCUCUAGUUGAAAUAGAUGGACAAGAUGAAUACUUGACAGUGAUAAACCUCGCAAAAGCCCGAAAUUUUCCUAAUUUCUACAUUGGAUUGACAGAUAUCUAUUUCGAAGGAGUGUGGAUGAAAACUAAUUCACUUGACGUUUAAACUUACUUUAAUUGGUAUCCAGGGGAACCCAACAAUAAUGGUGGCCAGGAUUGUGUUCAGGUGUACCGUACGAACUUAAAAAUGGACGAUGCAGGGUGUCAUUUGCACAGGCAUUUUGUUUGUGAAAAAUAAAGCGAAAUACAGUUU